rnacentral:ncRNA from 2 species
AGGCGAACCCGUGGUGAUUUGGCCGGUCGGCUUGCAGCCACGUAAAAGAAGUCGCUAAAAGGCCGUGGAUACCAAGUC